rnacentral:misc_RNA from 1 species
CGAGUAGUAGAGGCCAUAUUUUACGAAUGUGUGCCCGUGAUCAUAUCAGAUAAUUUCGUGCCUCCCUUUUUCGGAGUCUUGAAUUGGGAUACGUUCUCUUUAAUCCUAGCUGAGAAGGACAUUCCGAACUUGAAAAGCAUACUUCUCUCCAUACCGGAAAAGAAGUAUCUCGAUAUGCAACUAGCUAUCAGGAAGGUUCAGCGCCAUUUCCUUUGGCACGCGAAGCCGGUAAAAUAUGACUUGUUUCAUAUGACACUUCAUUCAAUUUGGUACAAUAGAGUUUUUCAAACAAAAGCUAGAUGAAAGUUGCUCCAGAUGCAAGUCUAUUUGGUACAUUUGUUUCCUACUAUGAUAUUGCUCAGACUCUUUAAAAAUGUCACUAGCUGCGUGUUGGAGGUGUUGGAUCCUCCAAAAGUAAGUGCAUUUCUAGAUGAUUUGAUACAGGUGCAACAAUG